rnacentral:rRNA from 1 species
GAUGAACGCUGGCGGCGUGCCUAAUACAUGCAAGUCGAGCGAACGGACGAGAAGCUUGCUUCUCUGAUGUUAGCGGCGGACGGGUGAGUAACACGUGUAUAACCUACCUAUAAGACUGGGAUAACUUCGGGAAACCGGAGCUAAUACCGGAUAAUAUUUUGAACCGCAUGGUUCAAAAGUGAAAGACGGUCUUGCUGUCACUUAUAGAUGGAUCCGCGCUGCAUUAGCUAGUUGGUAAGGUAACGGCUUACCAAGGCAACGAUGCAUAGCCGACCUGAGAGGGUGAUAGGCCACACUGGAACUGAGACACGGUCCAGGCUCCUACGGGAGGCAGCAGUAGGGAAUCUUACGCAAUGGGCGAAAACCUGACGGAGCAACGCCGCGUGAGUGAUGAAGGUCUUCGGAUCGUAAAGCUCUGUUAUUAGGGAAGAACAUAUGUGUAAGUAACUGUGCACAUCUUGACGGUACCUAAUCAGAAAGCCACGGCUAACUACGUG